AUUGAACGCUGGCGGCAUGCCUUACACAUGCAAGUCGAACGGCAGCAUAGGAGCUUGCUCCUGAUGGCGAGUGGCGAACGGGUGAGUAAUAUAUCGGAACGUGCCCUAGAGUGGGGGAUAACUAGUCGAAAGACUAGCGAAUAUCGCAUACGAUCUACGGGUGAAAGUGGGGGAUCGCAAGACCUCAUACUCCUGGAGCGGCCGAUAUCUGAUUAGCUAGUUGGUGGGGUAAAAGCUCCCCAAGGCGACGAUCAGUAGCUGGUCUAGGAGGACUACCAGCCACACUGGGACUGAGACACGGCCCAGACUCCUACGGGAGGCAGCAGUGGGGAAUUUUGGACAAUGGGGGCAACCCUGAUCCAGCAAUGCCGCGUGAGUGAAGAAGGCCUUCGGGUUGUAAAGCUCUUUUGUCAGGGAAGAAACGGUUCUGGAUAAUACCUGGGACUAAUGACGGUACCUGAAGAAUAAGCACCGGCUAACUACGUGCCAGCAGCCGCCGUAA
rnacentral:rRNA from 1 species